ACUCAAAUGAAUAGACGGGGGCCCGCACAAGCGGUGGAGCAUGUGGUUUAAUUCGAAGCAACGCGAAGAACCUUACCAGGUCUUGACAUCCCUGGACAGCUGUGGAAACACAGUUUCCCUUCGGGGCCAGGAGACAGGUGGUGCAUGGUUGUCGUCAGCUCGUGUCGUGAGAUGUUGGGUUAAGUCCCGCAACGAGCGCAACCCUUGCCUUUAGUUGCCAUCAUUAAGUUGGGGACUCUAAAGGGACUGCCGGUGACAAAUCGGAGGAAGGUGGGGAUGACGUCAAAUCAUCAUGCCCCUUAUGAUCUGGGCUACACACGUGCUACAAUGGGUGGUACAGAGGGAAGCGAAGCCGUGAGGCGGAGCGAAUCCCAGAAAGCCACUCUCAGUUCGGAUUGCAGGCUGCAACUCGCCUGCAUGAAGUCGGAAUCGCUAGUAAUCGCAGGUCAGCAUACUGCGGUGAAUACGUUCCCGGGCCUUGCACACACCGCCCGU
rnacentral:rRNA from 1 species